GCCUUCGUGGUGAAAUGGCCAGCACACAUGGCACGUAUUCGAGAGGUCCGAGGUUCGAGUCCCGGCGAGGGCA
rnacentral:tRNA from 1 species